rnacentral:rRNA from 1 species
CCUACGGGUGGCAGCAGUGGGGAAUAUUGCACAAUGGGGGAAACCCUGAUGCAGCGACGCCGCGUGAGUGAAGAAGUAUUUCGGUACGUAAAGCUCUAUCAGCAGGGAAGAAAAUGACGGUACCUGACUAAGAAGCCACGGCUAACUACGUGCCAGCAGCCGCGGUAAUACGUAGGGGGCAAGCGUUAUACGGAUUUACUGGGUGUAAAGGGAGCGUAGACGGCAGCGCAAGUCUGGAGUGAAAUCCCAUGGCUUAACCAUGGAACUGCUUUGGAAACUGUGCAGCUAGAGUGCAGGAGAGGUAAGCGGAAUUCCUAGUGUAGCGGUGAAAUGCGUAGAUAUUAGGAGGAACACCAGUGGCGAAGGCGGCUUACUGGACUGUAACUGACGUUGAGGCUCGAAAGCGUGGGGAGCAAACAGGAUUAGAUACCCCGGUAGUC